AUAAUGAUGGUGAGAAAGGGUGAGAUGCUCUUGUGAUUUCAAGGUUGUGGGGUAGAAUUGUUACAAGUUAGAAAGAGUCAGAUGGCCUAGGUCAAACUUCACUCUACUACUUCCUAGCUAAAUGACUUUGAACCAGAACUUCAUAAGCUUUGGUUUGUACCAGAAAGUUGAAAUAAUACUGUUAUCUACCCCCUUAUAUUACCUUUGAUGUAUUCAUGGAAGGACCCCUAGAAUGGAUCUAGCAUAUAUUAAAUUCUCAAUAAAUUAUAGUUUUAUUAUGCCUCCUUUCUCAACAAAUCUGAGAACAAAUCUGGAAAGGCAAGGUGACUGUCCCAAGAAGUAGAUCAGAUUCAGUCAUGGAAACAACCACUAGGUGUGGAAACUCAAAGUGCUUGCUGGUGUAGGUCAAAUGUGACUUCUGAAUGACAUGUGAGAAUGUAGACAAUUUUUUUCUUUUUUUUUAAUAUUUAUUUAUUUAUUCAUGAUAGACAGAGAGAGAGAGAGAGAGAGAGAGAGGCAGAGACACAGGAGGAGGGAGAAGCAGGCUCCAUGCCGGGAGCCCGACGUGAGACUCGAUCCUGGGACUCCAGGAUCGCGCCCUGGGCCAAAGGCAGGUGCUAAACCGCUGAGCCACCCAGGGAUCCCUGACAAUUUCUUUAUGGACUGGAAGUUACUCUUCUGAGAACUCUGUGCUGUUUUUAUUUUAGGAAAAUGGAUGCCAAAACCUGGAUUUCAUUACCUGCUUUGAAGUCAUUGGGGAUAUUCCAAGUUUACAGUCUGGUUUAUUUUUACCACUCUGGUUUGAUUUGGGACCCACCUGUGGAAGCCUGGAAAGGAGAGUGUCGUCUUUUUUACCAGUCCGCCUUGGGCCCCCACCGAGCUCUGCUGCAGGAGGAGGUAGAUCCUGACAAGUCCCAGGACGCUGACAGACUUCUUUUCUCUUGGUUCUGAGCGAGGUCGACUGCAAGCCUCUGAGGCUGAAACGGGCCCUUCAGGAAGGCUGCCUGUGGAUCUUCCGUGUUCCCACCCCCACGUGGAGCGCAUCCUGUGGAAUCUUCUUUGAGAUGCGGUAAAUGAGUGUGUGUGGGAACAGGGGACGGCUGGGAGCAGCCCUUCCUCUACCUUGUAGGCUUAUAACUGUUAUUGUGGAGUCUACCUCACCUGAACAUCUGGCUCAGGGGGCCCCCCCAGCCUGGUGGCUCUGAGCCUCCCUUCUUCUGUAACCCCUUAAAGCCAGACCACCGCCUGGCCUCUCUGAUUGCUGCAUCCUGGGAGCCUUUCCGUCUGCCUGAUGCUCGGAGCAUGUAGUAGGAGCUCAGUUACACUUGGUGAAUGAAACGAGUAGCAUCAGGGACAGAGCUUCUAGUGCUCUGAGCUUGAUUUUGGCCAUGCCUUCAGAUUCUUGGUGCUUUAUUCAUGAGUCAGUGUUUGUUUUAGAAUCCAA
rnacentral:lncRNA from 1 species